rnacentral:rRNA from 1 species
AAAACAACUUUGGCUACAAAUGUGUAUAGGAAGGAGAGAAAAAAGUUUGAAUGCCAUGCAUGGGUUUCUAUCUCUCAGAGGUAUUCUGCAAAACAUGUUCUAAAAUGUUUGAUCACUGAAUUUUACAAAUUGAGCAAAUACACCCCAGGUAACAUUGAUCACAUGGACACUAAAUGUCUUCAAGAUGUAUUAAGGAGAUUCCUAGAGGACAAGAAGUAUUUAGUCAUACUAGAUGAUGUUUGGGCUCCAGAAGUAGUCAAUGACUUGUUUGGAGCACUCGUCCAAAAUUCUAAGGGGAGUAGAGUCCUUAUCACAACACGCAUUGAUGAUGUGGCCCACCUUGCUCACGAUAGAAGAAUAACACUAACUCCUCUAUCAAAUAAGGAUCCAUGGGAGCUCUUUUGUAAGACUGCUUUCCCAAAAGAUACAGAUCACCAUUGCCCCACAGAAUUGGCAGAAUUAGCACAUGAAGUAGUUUGCAAGUGUAAAGGUAAACCUCUUGCAAUUGUCACAGUUGGCAGGACCCUCUUUGUGCGUGACAAGACAAAAGAGGAAUUCAAGCGAAUACGUGAUCAGCUGGACUGAGAGCUUCUUAAUAAUCCAAGCAUGGAGGAUGUUAGAAACAUCCUUCACUUGAGCUUUAUCUAUCUUCCACCUUACUUGAAAGGUUGUUUCUUAUACUGUAGCUUGUUUCCAGAAGACUAUCUUUUCCAAAGGAAAAAGCUUGUACGGUUAUUGAUAGCUGAGGGGCUCAUCGAGGAGAGGGGUGAAAGCACACUAGAAGAAGUGGCAGAAAGCUACGUGAAAGAAUUGGUUCAUAGAAAUAUGCUACAACUUGUUGAGAGGAACUCAUUUGGCAGGAUAAAGAAAAUCAGAAUGCAUGAUAUACUACGUGAACUAGCGGUUGUAUUGUGUGAGAAAGAAUGUUUUGGUAUUGCAUAUGAUGAGGAUAAACACAGUGGAUCUUUUGAUAAUGAUGGCCGUCGAUUGGUCGUGCACAAACUAAAGAAGGACAUUCACCAUUCAGUCCCAAGUAUAUACCGCCUUCGAUCUGUCAUCGCAUUGGACCACAGUAUGCCAUGUUCCACUCUUCUGCCUCGGAUAGCGGAGAAGGCUAGAUAUAUGUCAGUGUUGGAGUUGAGUGACCUGCCAAUUGAGAAGAUUCCAAAUGCUAUUGGGGAUCUUUUCAAUCUCCGACAUUUGGGUUUGCGGAAUCCAAAGGUGAAGCUGCUCCCGAAGUCAAUUGAGAAGCUUUCGAAUUUGUUGACGUUGGACCUAUAUAGGAGUAACAUAGAAGAGUUGCCUAUUUGGAUAGUCAAACUGCAGAGGCUUAGACACUUAUUCGCUCAGAAAGCAAGUGAUCGAUCUGAGCGAGUUUUCAGGUGCCUCAGUGGUAUAUGCAUCCCCAAGGUUUUGAGGAACCUGCAGACGUUACAAACAUUGGAAGCACAGAGUGGGUCCAUUAGACAUCUGGGUGAGCUCGGGCAGCUUAGAAGCUUGAGAAUAUGGAAUGUGGAGGGAGUCUACUGUGGACACCUCUGUGAAUCUCUAGCUCAGAUGCAAUCUUUGUCCCACCUGACUGUGGGCGCGAGUGAUGAGAAUGUGAUUCUCCGGUUGAAUGCUCUCCCGCCAAACCUUCAAAAGUUACGGUUGAAUGGACAGCUAGAUGAAGACACACUGAGUCUCGUCCAAGAGGCAGGGCGAUGCUUGUAUUCAUUGCGUCUAUAUUGGUCACAGCUGAGAGGAGAUCCUCUUCCUUCCCUUUCUCGGUUGUCAAAUUUGACGGAGCUAAGGUUCAGCAAUGCCUACAAUGGGGAGAAGCUGGCAUUUCUCACUGGGUGCUUCCCCAAGCUGAAGAGAGUCAUUUUGCGAGACCUGCCUAGUCUGAAGUGCAUGGAGAUACACAAAGGUGCCAUGGCGAGCCUAGAAGAGCUGACACUUUGGAACCUCAGCAACAUGAUGGAGGUUCCACGUGGUCUUGAGUUCCUUGUGACCCUCCGGGUUGUAACCUUUUAUGAAAUCACCCCAGAGUUCUUGAAGUUGCUGCACAACUGCCCUAGAAUCAGAGGUACAAGGUGGUGGUACACUCUGCGGAACUGA